UACGAAGGGGGCUAGCGUUGCUCGGAAUCACUGGGCGUAAAGCGCACGUAGGCGGCUUUUUAAGUCAGAGGUGAAAUCCUGGAGCUCAACUCCAGAACUGCCUUUGAUACUGGUGAGCUUGAGUCCGGGAGAGGUGAGUGGAACUGCGAGUGUAGAGGUGAAAUUCGUAGAUAUUCGCAAGAACACCAGUGGCGAAGGCGGCUCACUGGCCCGAUACUGACGCUGAGGCACGAAAGCGUGGGGAGCGAACAGG
rnacentral:rRNA from 1 species